rnacentral:rRNA from 1 species
UACGUAGGGUGCAAGCGUUAAUCGGAAUUACUGGGCGUAAAGCGUGCGCAGGCGGUUAUGCAAGUCAGAUGUGAAAUCCCCGGGCUUAACCUGGGAACCGCAUUUGUGACUGCAUAGCUGGAGUACGGAAGAGGGGGAUGGAAUUCCGCGUGUAGCAGUGAAAUGCGUAGAUAUGCGGAGGAACACCGAUGGCGAAGGCAGUCCCCUGGGCCUGUACUGACGCUCAUGCACGAAAGCGUGGGGAGCAAACAGG